rnacentral:rRNA from 1 species
UACGUAGGGGGCAAGCGUUGUCCGGAUUUAUUGGGCGUAAAGAGCGUGUAGGCGGUCAGGUAGGUCCGUUGUGAAACUCGAGGCUCAACCUCGAGACGCCGAUGGAAACCAUCUGACUAGAGUCCGGAAGAGGAGAGUGGAAUUCCCGGUGUAGCGGUGAAAUGCGCAGAUAUCGGGAAGAACACCCGUGGCGAAGGCGGUUCUCUGGGACGGUACUGACGCUGAGACGCGAAAGCGUGGGGAGCGAACAGG